GUGAGGAAUUUUCCGCGAUGGGCGAAAGCCUGACGGAGCAAUGCCGCGUGAAGGAUGAAGGCCUAUGGGUUGUAAACUUCUUUUCUCAGAAAAGAAUUAUGACGGUAUCUGAGGAAUAAGCAUCGGCUAACUCUGUGCCAGCAGUCGCGGUAAGACAGAGGAUGCAAGCGUUAUCCGGAAUGAUUGGGCGUAAAGCGUCUGUAGGUUGUUUAAAAAGUAUUCUGUCAAAGAUUAGGGCUUAACCCUAGAUAGGCAGAAUAAACUUUUAAGCUAGAGUUUGGUAGAGGCAGAGGGAAUUCCCGGUGGAGCGGUGAAAUGCGUAGAUAUCGGGAGGAACACCAAAGGCGAAGGCACUCUGCUGGGCCAAUACUAACACUGAGAGACGAAAGCGAGGGGAGCAAAUGGGAUUAGAAACCCUUGUAGUCC
rnacentral:rRNA from 1 species